rnacentral:rRNA from 1 species
CCUACGGGUGGCAGCAGUGAGGAAUAUUGGUCAAUGGCCGAGAGGCUGAACCAGCCAAGUCGCGUGAGGGAAGACUGCCCUACGGGUUGUAAACCUCUUUUGUCGGGGAGCAAAGCGACUCACGUGUGUCUCAUUGAGAGUACCCGAAGAAAAAGCAUCGGCUAACUCCGUGCCAGCAGCCGCGGUAAUACGGAGGAUGCGAGCGUUAUCCGGAUUUAUUGGGUUUAAAGGGUGCGCAGGCGGGGUUGCAAGUCAGCGGUCAAAUUGCGGGGCUCAACCCCGUCGAGCCGUUGAAACUGGAUCGCUUGAGUGCGGGAGAGGUAUGCGGAAUGCGUGGUGUAGCGGUGAAAUGCAUAGAUAUCACGAAGAACUCCGAUUGCGAAGGCAGCAUACCGGCGCGCGACUGACGCUCAUGCACGAAAGCGUGGGUAUCGAACAGGAUUAGAUACCCGAGUAGUC